UACGUAGGAAGCAAGCGUUGUCCGGGUUUAUUGGGUUUAAAGGGUGCGUAGGCGGCCUAUUAUGUUAGUGGUGAAAACGUUCGGUUUAACCGGAUACCCGCCAUUGAUACUGAUAGACUUGAGUGCGACAGAGGGUGUUGGAAUGUGUGGUGUAGAGGUGAAUGCUUAGAUAUCACGCAGAACACCAAUUGCGAAGGCAGAUGCCUAUGUCGUAACUGACGCUGAGGUACGAAAGCGUGUUGAGCAAACAGG
rnacentral:rRNA from 1 species